GACGAACGCUGGCGGCGUGCCUAAUACAUGCAAGUCGAACGCAGUGGGGACGGGUGAGUAACACGUGGGUAACCCCCCAUCAGAGGGGAUAACACUUGGAAACAGGUCCUAAAACCGAUACUGAUGGAUGGACCCGCGGUGCAUUAGCUAGUUGGGGAGGUAACGGCUCACAAAGGCCACGAUGCAUAGCGGACCUGAGAGGGUGAUCGACCAAACUGGGACUGGUACAGGGCCCAGACUCCAAGGGGAGGAAGCAGGAGGAAGUCUUCGGAAAUGGACGAAAGUCUAACCGAGAAAGGCCGCGUAGGUGAAGAAGGUUUUCGGAUCGUAAGACUCUGUUGUAAGAGAAGCGGUAUCUAACCAGAAAGCCACGGCUAACUACGUGCCAGCAGCCGCGGUAAUAC
rnacentral:rRNA from 1 species